rnacentral:snRNA from 1 species
GUAAACAGCCCUCGUUGUUUGCUUAUACUAAAAUCGGAUUGAUACAGAGAAGAUUAUCAUGGCUUCUGCUCAAGGAUGACAUGCAAAUUUGUGAAGUGUUCCAUAUUUAA